CUUGCACAUCUCCACCAACAACACCGAGAAAUGGUGCUGUAACCGGCAGUGCUAAUACAUUUGCAUCAGUGCGUCAGUACAGUUGCAUGGAAGGCUAUCAAUUGAGUGGUACCAGAUACACAAUAUGUCAAGCCAAUGGGUCUUGGUCAACUGCCAAUCCAAUGUGUACAAGAAUUCUGUGCUCGGCACCGAUCCCAUCACUAACAAACGGUGGUGUAGAAAUGGGAGGGACCACAUAUUUGACAGUGCGUGGAUUUUUUUGUUACCCAGGCAACGCCCUCAGUGGAAGUAGGUACACUGUCUGUCAGGCUGACGGUACAUGGUCAACAGCAACUCCAAAUUGCACAGCAAACACAUGCUGGAGUCUAUCAGCCCCUAGCAAUGGAUAUGUAUACAUGGAUGACACGACUUUCGGUUCAAAGGCAAGUUUCAGCUGCAUUGCUGGAUAUCAGCUGACGGGUGUGUCCAGUGUUACGUGUCUCACCGAUCAGACCUGGUCUGCAAUCAGUCCAAGAUGUACAAAGAUCACCUGCCCAGUGCUGGCUACACCACCCAAUGCAAUAUUAUCUCCUGGAACAGCGGAUUUCCAGGCCAAACGUACAUUCUCCUGCACUGAUGGAUAUACCCUGUCGGGGGAUUCACAACUGGUCUGUCUUUUGAAUGGAUCUUGGUCUGCCCC